UAAACUUCAUGUUUGAAUAAUGAAUAAAGGAUAAAGAUGGGAACCUAAUCUGUUCCUGCUUUCACUGAGAAAGCAACACCUCUCUGGCAAGAUUUCACUGUGUUUGUCAAAGCUGAAACUGCUAUUUUGAUACUUUUGAAAGUAUUUCUUCUAACCAUCUUACCUAAUGGUUCAAAGGUGAUUAUUUCAAGCUCAGUGACAUCUCCUUUGUGAAUUUUGGCAUUUUUGGUGAAGAAAAUCAGCUUUAUUCUGACAUAUAGUAGGACAAUCAUAUGUAAUGGAUAAUAUGGACUUUAGUCAAAGAAUUUGUACUUGUUCCUUUCAAAACUAUUUAGUAUUCUAAAUCAGACAGCUGCAGUCAUGCUUUUAAAUCUUCCAUCUGAUUUAGGAGAAUGGAGAGUCCCAGCUUGACUAUU
rnacentral:lncRNA from 1 species